rnacentral:pre_miRNA from 1 species
UAAUCUCAGCUGGUAAUUCUGAGUGUACCUGGCAACCUCAAGUUACCAGCCGAGGUUACA